AAUUUCACCUCACAAGCACCUGGGGCCAGGGGAAGGGGGGAUGGAGGAGGGGAGGGGGUCUGAGUAGGAGAAGUGAUGUCCUAUAGGCUGAAAGUUAAGACUCUGGCCUUGGGGGAGGGUCUAUCAGAACUGAGGGUUCAGAGAAACAGAAAGAUGAGCAUGUGCUGCUGAAAGGAGACCAAGGGGGAGAGAGGAGUUUAGAAGCUGCUUGGGUAUUCUGCCCCAGAAUGCACCACGGCAUGCUGCAAUCCUUUGCUCUAGAAGAUUCAGGGACGAUGGAGCUGGGAGUAGAACACAGAGACUGGCUUCGCAGGAAACCUUCAGUGACUUCUGGUAUCAUUUCAUCUCUUCAGGGAAUAAAUCACACAGUGUUCCACUUGUGUAGACACCUCUGUAUUUCUUGUUAAGCCCUAGGGAUUAGGCAUCCGUUUUUGUUUUCUCUUAGCUCUAAAAAAGUGAAGAAAGGGCAGCCCACCCCUUAGAACCCGCUCCAGCUACUUGCAGGAGUGAGCCUCCCAUCCCUGGAGGCAUGUAAGUGGAGGCUGCAUGAUUCCAUGGAAGAGAGCUGUCUAUUGCAUAAGAAGUUGAACCGAAUAGUCUCUGAAAUGCUUUUCAAUGCCUGAUUCCAAGUUUCUGGGACAUGAAGGAACUGGUCAUAUUCAGGGCAAAUGAACGGACAUGGAGGCAGCAUCUACUAGGUUCUCUGAAGUUUGACCACUCAAGAGUUAUUUGAGGCGUUUACUGCAUCAGACUUUCAAAGAACUGGGGCCUGGAGAUUUACAGAGCUCUUUGUGUGUUCUGCUGUGCAUCCGGAACCAAGAGACGUGGAAAGACAUGGAAACAAAUGCCCUCUGACAUCUUAAAGGGCCACAGCAGCCUUCUGCCUUGGACGUUGCAAAACUGACUCAAUGUGCACAAAACACAGCUUUUCCGUCUGCAGAAUCAGGGCCGUUUUCCUCGAAGCAGCCUUCUGGAUUAUUACGAGCACUGAACCAAAGUACUUUGCAGCAUCCAGUGUGAAGGUAUAACAGCCAAGAAGGUCAAGGUGAUGAACUUCCAACUGUUACUGGACACUAGGCAUCCAGUCAACUCCCCAAACCCCAAAAUGCUAGAGGGUCAGAAAGCAAGAAAAACAUGUUUUCAUAAAGGUUACA